CCUUGGGAGAAGCGGAUUUUUUGCUGAGGGUGGGGGGAGCCAUGGGGUGCCCAUCGGGUUUGCCCUUCUGCUUCAUCAGUUCGUAGAGCAAAUCGAUGGGGGCCCCGCUGCUCUCCGACUCGGCCACGCCGAGCUGCCGCAGGUGGGAGCGCGCGUGGCUGGAGAGCCCUUUGCGGGUUUCGAAGCAGGCGCCGCACACCUCGCACGUCGUCAGGUUCUGGGUUUUGGGGUCGUGUGGAUCCGCUUUGCCGCCGGGCGGCUCGGCGCACAGCUUGGUCCCUAUGCGGGCGGGCUGCUCCGACUGCCCCGGGGCUGAGCUCUUCUUGGGCAGCGGUGGCGGUGGUGGAGGCGGGGGGGAACCCACCUCCAUGGCCACCACCUCCUCCUCCUCCGGGGCCAGAACGUCUCUGUAGGACUGCAAGGACUCAUCUCCCCAAGAUGGAGGGAAUGGGGACAGAGGAGAGCGUGGAAUGCUGCACUCGGAGAUGGGGGUCAUGCUCUUGCGGGGCACGAAGCCGUGCGGCUCUC
rnacentral:lncRNA from 1 species